rnacentral:rRNA from 1 species
AAACUUGAGAGUUUGAUCAUGGCUCAGAACGAACGCUGGCGGCAUGCCUAACACAUGCAAGUCGAACGAGUGCCUUCGGGUGCUAGUGGCGCACGGGUGCGUAACGCGUGGGAAUCUGCCCUUUGGUUCGGAAUAACAGUUGGAAACGACUGCUAAUACCGGAUGAUGACGAAAGUCCAAAGAUUUAUCGCCAGAGGAUGAGCCCGCGUAGGAUUAGCUAGUUGGUGU